UGGGAAUCGUGUAGUGGGCCGUACAUUUUGGAUGCAUUUCUUAUCAGAACUGACGGGGAAAACAAAAAUAAAUAAAAAUGCCAGACAGGCCACGCCCACACGACAUGCGACAACACAACAGUAACAACUGCGACUGCGACACGUGUGAAUGGAGGAUUAAUGGUUAAAGAGGGAACAGGGAGCUUCAAAGCACGAAAAUCGCAGCUUUCUUACAGAUACCGUCUUUCGUAGUUUUUUUAAAUCAAUACGAAUAUCAUGAUAUAAGCAUCGUAAGUAAUCACGAUACGACGCUCUUGCGGUACAGUCCACACUUUUCCACACACAGCCUGGAGAGCUCAAACAAUUCCCGAAGCAUUUCAGUUAUUCUCACUGACAGGUGUGAGGCGAGAUGGCGAGAGCUGGACGCUGAUGCGAGUGUGUAUUUUUAAACGUGCUUCUGUAUCACGAGUGUGUUAGACACUGCAUGACUCGGACGUGACUGACAAAGACCAGACAGAAUGCAAAAGAUUAAUGGGAGGGGAAUUGGGGGAUCGGGGGAAGAGGAAGAGAACGAAGUGAGACAAACGUUGGAGUCUCUGAGGAAAAAGACGACAAUUUGGUCUUGGCUAAUUCCCACCCAUCAGUCAGCUCUCCUCUAUCACACAACAGCUACCAACCAACGAGGGUGAAGGCUAACACCUGAAGCCAACCAAUCACAUCUUCUCAAACUGCUGCUCAUGCUGCAUCACAGGGCAGUGGAACACAUUCAGAGGAAAGCGCUGUCUGCCCUCUUCCACAUACACAAGCUCACAGACGCCCAAAAACGGCUAAAAUCGCUGUGAUUGACAGGGGAGAAAGGGUAUGCCCCUCCCACCCAUUACAGCAACGCAAAAUUCGCUCACUUGGCGACAUCUUCGGGAUUCGAAAUUGCAAUUUCCUGAUAAAUCGUGACUGCUUUUCUUUUGCAACACUCAGGAGCCUUAUAAAACCACUUUAAAAAAAACAAACUUGAAGUUCUGUCAUGCUGGACUGAAUUCCCGAGACACAUUCUUCCAAACCUCUCAGAACCUUGAAGAAGCGAUGGACGACUCUUCUAAGAGCACUUGAACAUGAAGAAACACUGAAACACUCUCAGCCUUCUCUCCUUUAUGGUUUUAUAUCCAUCUAGGUGUGCUUUAGUGUGCUGUUUUUAUCCGUGUUGUUCCUGGUUACGUGUAUUACUCAUUGGUAGACGUUACACACCUAGAUAAUGAUGUUGUGUUAUACGUAGCAUCAUGAACUCAGCUGUCAUGAAGCUGCCAUGUUGGUGCUCCGUCUUUGUCCUAUGAAAAGAAGAGUUAUCUAAGGCUGGGAUUCUCAAAGUUUUUGUAGCUAAAGAUGCUUUUAACUGUAAAGUAAAUUCCACGGAUUUUAGACACAUUAUUUUAGUGUGUAAAAUAAAAUUCUGGCUAUUUAUUACAGCCUUAGAGCGUUUUAUUUCUGGACUUGAAACCAUCAGAACACAUUCGAUUCCAGUAGACAUGACUAAUAAGCAGACUUGUUUUGAGUUACUGUGAUUCCAGGGUUGCUGCAGAGUUUUGUUUUUUUUUUUUUUUCAAAAUCAAAUUCCAUGCUUUUUAAGACCUGGCCAACUGAAAAUCAACAGUGUGUCGAUAUAUGAACAAACGACACCGCUUAGCUUGACUGUUAGCAUGACGCUGGUGCUUCUCAGGUGCUUUAAUCCUCACAGUGACUAACUGAACUGUCUAGACACAAACCUCAAAACAGUUGCUUGCUGGCACCAGCUACUCAUCCUCCAACCAUUUCUUGUUGAAUUUGCACUUGUCUGUUUUGUUCUUAUCUCCUUUUUUAACAAGUAGGGGGAGAAAAACAGCAUGAAAGGUUACGAGGUCAUGUGACCCAGGACUAGGUCACAUACAUAGCCAAAAGAAAAUGUAAAAUGUGAAACUAAAAAAAGCAGUUUAUCCAAAAUGAUUUCUAAAUCAGUGUUGAGACAUAAGCUCAGAAUUUAAUACCUAAUAGUUAAAAGCAACAGAGUUAAGACAUUUUAUGAACCUAAAUUUCAUAAAUAAAUGUAACCCUGGCUUUGGAUUAAACCCAGUCAGUUCAGUCACAUAGGCUAGUAACAUAUAUGUCAUUAUUAUAAUUGUUUGCUUUAUCCUUAUUGUAAUAUGCACAUUUAUUACUGCAUUUACGGUAGACCUGCUAUUCCAGCUGUUACGGUAAUAACAGACCUGCCAAACCCAAAAAAGUAUAACACACAGACUCGGGAAGGGGUGGAGGAAAAUAAAAACUUUUUUAAAUAUAGUCCUUAGACAUAUUUCUUGUCUAAUGGAGCUUGUAGAAACUGUGAAAUGUCUCAACAUGGCUGACAUUUUUCACAGCCAAACUGUUUGUGUCUCAGCACUAAAGCAGCCUUUUAAUCACUUUCUAAAUUAUUUUUAAAGCGUUAAAUUUAUUGUAGGUCCGUGUCAUUGUGGGUUCUUUUAUUUUUUUGGUUUGGGGUCAAAAGUUUCAGCCUGUUUCCCUUCCCAAAAGUGCUGUUUUCAGCUGAAAAUUUGGAGCAGCUGAUUUUAGCCAAGUGAAACUUCCACUAAAUAUUCUAUUUCCCAAUAAUGAACUCAAAACAUUCUCCGUUUACCGAGACAGAAAGCGAGGACGCCGCGUCAGCAUCAGCGCAUGUUUCAAGCAGCGAACCGAGUCGAGACGAGAGCAUCGGCCACAACGUUACGCUGCAUUCGACUUACAUGAGAAGUGGAAAAUCGUAGCUUGGAAUUCGAGCUACAAAGUGGAGGAAGAAAACCAAAGACGCCUCCAUGUUCAUCUUUCAUUAGCAACACGUGUUUAAGAGUGAUGUAUAUUUACUUCCUCACAACAAAUCAGUGAACUGUAGAGUCAGUGUUAUAGAUUUAACAAGCAAAUGUGUCUUUAUGUUGACGGAUUUAAAGCUAAUAUACAGUAUCACUCACUUAAAGGUAAGAAGUGCUGCUGCUGUGUUUACUGUUGAUGCUGUGAGCGGCCAUUUUGAUUCGACGUCGCUUGCUGAACUCAGGGUUUUAUAGAGAUUGUCCCGACUUGAGAAGGCACUGUGUUUGUUUUUUCUUUUCCAGUAGACAGACUACACAUUAGUACUCGUAAGAUGGGGGAAAGGGGCGGGGCUUCUAGUUAUAAUUAAGUGCACCUAUGCAACUGUCGAUCUUUCUAGAUUCCUACGUUGAUUGGCUCAUCUGCCGUUUUUAUUUAAAGAGAAAAUCAGACUGACUGUUAAAGCACAGAGCUCCUAUAUGUAAAAUACGUAAAAGUUAGCAGGUCUGUAUGAAGCCUGGAUGAUGUAAAGAUGUUUGGCAGCUAUAGUUUGCGCAAUUUAAACACACCGAUGUCUAAAAGUAUUAAUUCGACACCAAGACACAAGAUGAAAAUCUUAAAUAACCCACUCGAGACACGAUGCAAGUUUAUCCUUUUGUUUAAUGUGACUUUUUCAAAGCCAGAAAUCUUUGAACGGUUCAACGACUUGAAACAACUUAAAAAGUUACAAAACAAACAUUGGGACGAGAAGCAGAGAGCCCUCGCUUGUUCUCCGUUUUGCACAGUGUGUGUCUGUGUGUGUUUGUGUGUGUUUUUACUGUAUGGAUCAUGCACACAGGGGGACCAACACACAGAUCUGCAUCAUUAACAAAAAAAAAAAAAAUUAUAAAAACACUGC